AACGGGGGGGGCAAGCGUUGUCCGGAAUUAUUGGGCGUAAAGCGCGCGCAGGCGGUUCAUUAAGUCUUCUGUUUAAUACCAGGGCUCAACCCUGGUUCGCAGAGGAAACUGGGUAACUGGAGUGCAGGAGAGGAAAGUGGAAUUCCACGUGUAGCGGUGAAAUGCGUAGAGAUGUGGAGGAACACCAGUGGCGAAGGCGACUUUCUGGCCUGUAACUGACGCUGAGGCGCGAAAGCGUGGGGAGCAAACAGG
rnacentral:rRNA from 1 species